AUUGAACGCUGGCGGCAGGCCUAACACAUGCAAGUCGAGCGGUAGAGAGAAGCUUGCUUCUCUUGAGAGCGGCGGACGGGUGAGUAAUGCCUAGGAAUCUGCCUGGUAGUGGGGGAUAACGUUCGGAAACGGACGCUAAUACCGCAUACGUCCUACGGGAGAAAGCAGGGGACCUUCGGGCCUUGCGCUAUCAGAUGAGCCUAGGUCGGAUUAGCUAGUUGGUGGGGUAAUGGCUCACCAAGGCGACGAUCCGUAACUGGUCUGAGAGGAUGAUCAGUCACACUGGAACUGAGACACGGUCCAGACUCCUACGGGAGGCAGCAGUGGGAAAUAUUGGACAAUGGGCGAAAGCCUGAUCCAGCCAUGCCGCGUGUGUGAAGAAGGUCUUCGGAUUGUAAAGCACUUUAAGUUGGGAGGAAGGGCAGUAAAUUAAUACUUUGCUGUUUUGACGUUACCGACAGAAUAAGCACCGGCUAACUCUGUG
rnacentral:rRNA from 1 species